UACCUUAAAAAAGAAUCCACAACACACCUUCUGGUCAUCCUCAAAUUGUUCUCUAUCGCUCUCACCUUCGUAUUUCUCAACAGAUACUUCCUUUUUCUCUGGUGGCUUCAAAUCUGACAGGGAAACUUCAAUUAAGUUAGCUGUUUUGGGAGUUGCUGUUGGUAAUAUUGGUUGGCUUAGCUGAUCUUCAUUUGGGGUGAGGCAGACAGUUUCUAUGAUGGGCUGAGAUAAUACUUCAGAAACAUUUGAUUCAAGGGGUUUGAUCUCCUUUUCCUCCAACUUCUGCUCACACUUUUUAAGAGAUUUUGGUCCUUCUUCUUUUGCUGCCUCUUCUGUAGGCUUGACUUCCUUCAAAAGACUUCCCUUCAGCUGAGGUUCAUCUGGAUGUUCACCAUCAUCUCCAAAGCAAACAAAUGAUCUCGUCUGAAUGGGAACCUGACUUGGGGAAAAUCUUCUCAAGCGAGGAAGACUAUCCACAGACCUUGGGGCAGUCAAGCCAUCUACGUAAGACAUUGAUGUGGACC
rnacentral:lncRNA from 1 species